rnacentral:tRNA from 1 species
GUCAUCGUCUAGAGGCCUAGGACACCGCCCUUUCACGGCGGUAACAGGGGUUCGAAUCCCCUUGGGGAUACCA